CCACCAUUUCACACCUCUCUCUCUCUCUCUCUCUCUCUCUCUCUCGCUCACUCUCGCUCUAAGUCGGUCGCUCCCUCCAUUACCAGGGGGCGCGGCAUGUUUUGUGGUCGAGGCGGGAGCUGCUGUGUUUGGUGAAAUAUGAGUUGCGUUCAAGCUGCUGCCGCCGUCAAGCCGUAUGGCUAUCUCGUCUGCCGAGAUAGGACGUCCCCCUCGCGCAGCUUUCGUUCCGCUCGUGUUCUGCCUGUCGAUGCUAAUCGCUCAUCUGGGACAUCUUUGAAGCUAUCUGCCGAGAAGCUUGUGUCCCUGCAAUUUGUGCCGGUGCCGAAGCACGGGCCACGUUUACCUGUGUUGAGCUACCGGCGACUGGUUCCUCUUGGCUUGUUUGGCGGCAAAGGAAAAUCAGAAAGUGAGAACGAGGGUUCAGCUUGGAAGUCUCUUGAGAAAGCAAUGGGAAGUUUUCGCAAAGACCCAUCAAUCGAGGAUGUAUUGAGGCAGCAAAUUGAUAAACAAGAUUUCUAUGAUGAUGGAGGUUCUGGCAAAGGACCAACAGGAGGUGCUGGAGGUAGCAGUGGGUGGCAGUGGCAGUGGUGGAGGUUUUGGUGGAACUGACGAUGAAGGUUUUGCUGGGAUCAUGGAAGAGACGCUGCAAGUAGUUUUGGCAACACUUGGUUUUAUAUUUCUGUAUAUCUAUAUAAUAUCUGGAGAGGAGCUGUUUCGGCUAGCUAAGGAUUACAUGAAGUAUCUUUUUGGAGGAAGUCAGAGCGUUAGAUUAAAACGUGCAAUGUACCAGUGGGGAAGAUUUAAGAAGAAGAUGACAGAGAAGGAAGAGGUUGAUAAGUAUUGGUUAGAGAAGGCAAUAAUUAAUACCCCGACCUGGUGGGAUAGUCCUGAGAAGUACAGGCGCAUGGCAAGAUCCAUCCUAGAAGAUUCUGACCAACGUUCGGGCUAUGAUGAUGAAAUCUGAACAAUUCUUCGUCUUGCCAAUUCAUUUUAUAUGAAAGGCGAGAUCGUUCUAAGCUUCUAGUUCUGCAGUGAUCCAAAGCUCAGUCUUGGUAGACGAUGAGAAAGCUGUCUCGUGUAAUUUCUACAGUCAUGAAGAUUUUUGUGCAAAAUUUCACAGAAAGGUUGAUUUUCUCUCAUUACGUGGGAAUGCUCCAUCAAGAGACAAUUUUUGCA